ACUGGGUGAGGGCCAUCUGGCGUCCAGGGGCAGGCGUGGCGCUCUGGCCGUUCUCAGGACGCCCGAGGUCGGCCCCACUCUGAUCCUAGGAGAGGUCUGGAACGCACCGCGGCUGGGUUUCCUGCAAUGGCGCCUGGGAAGACGCGUGCUUGUCUGGGGCCCAGGAGUGCCGAGGAAGAAGGCCUGUCCCCAUGAUCUCGCACGGCCGGGCGGUUUGCAGCUCCCUGAGUUGUCCUGACACGGACGCAGCCACCAGGCCUGGCAGGCAGGACCUGGCUCGGGGACCAAGUGGGGCAAGGAGGGAGCCACAGGGCCCUGGCGGUGGGUGUCUGCUGAGGACACCUCCAAGCCAGUGGCAGCGCAGGUGACGUCAACCUCCACCUGAGAGCACCAGGCUCCAGAGCAGGCCGGCUCCUGCGCGGGACUCCCAGCCCACGGGACCUGGAAAUUGCGGAAACAGCAGCAGGCGCCACGCAUCCCCAGAUCGGCCCUGCAACCCGCCUCUCGGCGUGCCAGUCCUCGCUCCAUGCAGCUGCUUCUCAUGAACGUUGGAACACAGUUGUACCCCGCAUGCAUGAGGCCCCUGAGUUCAUCCCAGCACCGCAAAAAAGAAGGGGAGAGAAAAAAGACAGAGAAACUUUCAAGAUCACAACCCAAAUUGCCAAAAACUAAGCAUCCCAAAGUAGAGCUUACUCUGGGUCACUCAUUGCUCUUCUAUGGCCCUCAGUUUCCUCUUUUGCACCCUUGUGAUUUCUAGUUUGGUUACAAAAGAACUUUGGCCUGAAUUAUGUAGGUCAAACCAGUUUUAUUUAAAUUUUUUCCAUGCUUUCAUUGGUGCAUGAUAGUUGUACAAAGUGAUGGAAAUCGCUGUUAAAUAUUUGGACAUGCACAAAAUACAACCAUAUAGUCUGGCCUGUUUCCCUCCUAGCACCCCCUCCCCACUGGGCCGUCUCCUACUGAUCUCCCUUUGAUUCUCAUGAGAUCCCUACCCCACCUUUCUUUUCCUUUUCCCUCUCCAGCUUCCACAUAAGAAGACAAGAAAACAGGACCCCUGAUCUUUGGAGUUUGGCUUAUUUUGCUUAAUAUAAUGUUCUCUAGUUCCUGCAAAUCACAUAAUUUUGUUUUCCUUUGUGGACGACUAAAACUCCAUUGUGUAUAUACACAUUUUCUUUAUCCAUUUAUUCAUUGGUGAACACCUAGGUUGGUUCCACAUUUUGGCUAUUGUGAAUUGUGCUGCUUUAAACAUGGGUGUGCAUGUAUCACUGUGGUAUGACUUUGAUUCUUCAGGGUAGGUACCAAUCAGUGGUAUAGCUGGGCCAUGGUGGUUACACACCUGGUCUUUCCAGGAGCUUACAUGCUGAUUUCCACAGUGGUUGUACUAAUUUACAGUCACACCAACAGAGUACAGUGUCCCAGUGGAGUGCCACAUGCCAUGGUGCAAGCCUUUAAUCUCAGUGGCUCCGAGGCUGAGGCAAGAGGAUUGAGAGUUCAAAGCCAGCCUCAGAAACUUGGUGAGGCUCUAAGCAACUCGGCGAGACCCUGUCUCUAAAUAAAACACAAAAAAGGGCUGAGGUGUGGCUCAGUGGUCCAGUGCCCCAGUUCAAUCCUGGUGCCCCCCACCCAAAAAAAGAUGUCCCUUUUUCUCCACUCUCUCCAGGUACUCUCAAGCACUUAUUAUUGUUUCUUUCUUGUUGACUGCCAUUCUGACUGACAUGAUGUGACUCAGGGAAUCUCAGUGUGGUGGUGUUGUUGUUUUUGGCACUGGGGAUUGGACCCAGGAGCACUUGACUGAAGCCAGAAUUGGGGACAAGCAGUUAGUGUAGAAAUAGAGGAUCGGGUCAAAUCGAGGAAAUGGAGGCCA